rnacentral:rRNA from 1 species
ACGGGGCCGCACAAGCGGUGGAGUAUGUGGUUAAUUCGACGCAACGCGCAGAACCUUACCUAGGCUUGACAUCCCGGGAAUUGCUGGAAACAGUGAAGUGCUUUCAUAGAAAGAGCCCGGUGACAGGUGCUGCAUGGCUGUCGUCAGCUCGUGUCGUGAGAUGUUGGGUUAAGUCCCGCAACGAGCGCAACCCUCGCCUUUAGUUGCCAGCAUUCAGUUGGGCACUCUAGCGAGACUGCCGGUAAUAAACCGGAGGAAGGUGGGGAUGACGUCAAAUCAUCAUGCCCCUUAUGACCUGGGCUACACACGUGCUACAAUGGUUGGUACAACGAGUUGCGAGUCGGUGACGGCGAGCUAAUCUCUUAAAGCCAAUCUCAGUUCGGAUUGUAGGCUGCAACUCGCCUACAUGAAGUCGGAAUCGCUAGUAAUCGCGGAUCAGCACGCCGCGGUGAAUACGUUCCCGGGCCUU